UUUUUCUCCCUAAUAGGAGAAGGUGUUAGCACUAAAAGGAUGAUGAUGCAAGAUAGGGAAAAUGCAGUCAUGAUUAUUGCCUUAGUAACAUUUAAGCUGUGCAUGUUUCAGUAUGUGGACAAGUCUUCUGUCAGACCUAGAUGAAGAGAGGGCCUACUAAUAGGUCACAAAGCAGAGUGAACCAGGAGACAGCUGAGGCUGUAUUCACCAAAUAAACUUAGCUGUCAAAUGUGUUUGGGAGUGUUUCAUGAACAGUGGGAGACAGAGGCUCUUUAGGAACCGAGGCCUGGUGGUGGUCAUCUGAAUUGAUCUGGAUUUCCCUUUGUUUUGAUUUGUACGCUGGUCUUGCUGGCUGCAAAAAGCCACUUUCCAAAGUGACAACUCAAACCAAGAACAGCAAUAUUACAGAUCAGCCUCUGGGAUUUGUGGUGUGAUUGCUGACCAUAGCUGUAAACAGGAUAUUCAUAUUUUGUCCUUUGAAGGAAAGAAGUAGGUGCUUUAGC